rnacentral:lncRNA from 1 species
GAAAAAGCAGGUGGACCCUCAAGAGAACGUGGAUGCCCGCCAACUGUAGCUGGGGCCAGACAAAUCCCAGAAGCGGCUGGCAGCAGGGCAACCCCUGGUCCCUGCCAUAGUUCUUACUGGCUGCCAAUACCACUACUUCCUCCCUCAUCUCUUCAGACCCAAAGGAGGUGAUGACUUCCUGCGUUACCAGCACCGAGAGCCUCUACAUCCCUUGCCAGCUUCCUUAACCCUGCCCACAGUUCUGUAAAUGGUUCCUUCAUUAAAUUUUGCCUCUA